AUUCUACCCAAGCGGAGAAGGAUGAGAAGCUUCGACUAAGGUUCGACUCGAGCGCCAGCGAGAGAGCGUUGCCGCAGGCAACGACCCGAAGGGCGAAGCGCGCAGCGCUGAGUAAUCCUUCCCCCACCACCA
rnacentral:sRNA from 2 species